AUUGAACGCUGGCGGCAGGCCUAACACAUGCAAGUCGAGCGGAUGAGUGGAGCUUGCUCCAUGAUUCAGCGGCGGACGGGUGAGUAAUGCCUAGGAAUCUGCCUGGUAGUGGGGGACGACGUUUCGAAAGGAACGCUAAUACCGCAUACGUCCUACGGGAGAAAGUGGGGGAUCUUCGGACCUCACGCUAUCAGAUGAGCCUAGGUCGGAUUAGCUAGUUGGUGAGGUAAAGGCUCACCAAGGCGACGAUCCGUAACUGGUCUGAGAGGAUGAUCAGUCGCACUGGAACUGAGACACGGUCCAGACUCCUACGGGAGGCAGCAGUGGGGAAUAUUGGACAAUGGGCGAAAGCCUGAUCCAGCCAUGCCGCGUGUGUGAAGAAGGUCUUCGGAUUGUAAAGCACUUUAAGUUGGGAGGAAGGGCAGUAAGUUAAUACCUUGCUGUUUUGACGUUACCAACAGAAUAAGCACCGGCUAACUUCGUGCCAGCCGCCGCGGUAACAC
rnacentral:rRNA from 1 species